rnacentral:rRNA from 1 species
UACGGUAGGGGCAAGCGUUGUCCGGAAUCAUUGGCGUAAAGAGCGUGUAGGCGGCUUGGUAAGUCCGCUGUGAAAGUCCAGGGCUCAACCCUGGAAUGCCGGUGGAAACUGUCAAGCUUGAGUCCGGGAAGAGGCGAAGUGGAAUUCCUGGUGUAGCGGUGAAAUGCGCAGAUAUCAGGAGGAACACCAAUGGCGAAGGCAGGCUCGCUGGGACGGUACUGACGCUGAGACGCGAAAGCGUGGGGAGCAAACGG